rnacentral:rRNA from 1 species
GAUGAACGCUGGCGGCGUGCCUAAUACAUGCAAGUCGAGCGAACGGACGAGAAGCUUGCUUUUCUGAUGUUAGCGGCGGACGGGUGAGUAACACGUGGAUAACCUACCUAUAAGACUGGGAUAACUUCGGGAAACCGGAGCUAAUACCGGAUAAUAUUUUGAACCGCAUGGUUCAAAAGUGAAAGACGGUCUUGCUGUCACUUAUAGAUGGAUCCGCGCUGCAUUAGCUAGUUGGUAAGGUAACGGCUUACCAAGGCAACGAUGCAUAGCCGACCUGAGAGGGUGAUCGGCCACACUGGAACUGAGACACGGUCCAGGCUCCUACGGGAGGCAGCAGUAGGGAAUCUUCCGCAAUGGGCGAAAGCCUGACGGAGCAACGCCGCGUGAGUGAUGAAGGUCUUCGGAUCGUAAAACUCUGUUAUUAGGGAAGAACAUAUGUGUAAGUAACUGUGCACAUCUUGACGGCACCUAAUCAGAAAGCCACGGCUAACUACGUG